rnacentral:rRNA from 1 species
AGAGUUUGAUCCUGGCUCAGGAUGAACGCUAGCUACAGGCUUAACACAUGCAAGUCGAGGGGCAGCAUUAACGAAAGCUUGCUUUUGUUAGAUGGCGACCGGCGCACGGGUGAGUAACGCGUAUCCAACCUGCCAUAUACAGAGGGAUAGCCUUGCGAAAGUAAGAUUAAUACCUCAUGGUUUAUAUUUGCCGCAUGGCGGAUAUAAUAAAGAUUUAUCGGUAUAUGAUGGGGAUGCGUCCCAUUAGAUAGUCGGCGGGGUAACGGCCCACCGAGUCGACGAUGGGUAGGGGUUCUGAGAGGAAGGUCCCCCACAUUGGAACUGAGACACGGUCCAAACUCCUACGGGAGGCAGCAGUGAGGAAUAUUGGUCAAUGGACGAGAGUCUGAACCAGCCAAGUAGCGUGCAGGAAGACGGCCCUAUGGGUUGUAAACUGCUUUUAUAAGGGAAUAAAGUGAGUCUCGUGAGACUUUUUGCAUGUACCUUAUGAAUAAGGACCGGCUAAUUCCGUGCCAGCAGCCGCGGUAAUACGGAAGGUCCGGGCGUUAUCCGGAUUUAUUGGGUUUAAAGGGAGCGUAGGCGGAUUUUUAAGUCAGUUGUGAAAGUUCACGGCCCAACCGUGAAAUUGCAGUUGAAACUGAAAGUCUUGAGUGCACGCAGGGAUGCUGGAAUUCGUGGUGUAGCGGUGAAAUGCUUAGAUAUCACGAAGAACUCCGAUCGCGAAGGCAUGUGUCCGGAGUGCAACUGACGCUGAGGCUCGAAAGUGUGGGUAUCAAACAGGAUUAGAUACCCUGGUAGUCCACACAGUAAACGAUGAAUACUCGCUGUUUGCGAUAUACAGUAAGCGGCCAAGCGAAAGCGUUAAGUAUUCCACCUGGGGAGUACGCCGGCAACGGUGAAACU